rnacentral:rRNA from 1 species
CCUACGGGUGGCUGCAGUGGGGAAUAUUGGGCAAUGGGCGCAAGCCUGACCCAGCAACGCCGCGUGAAGGAAGACGGCUCUCGGGUUGUAAACUUUCUUUUUGAGGGACGCAGAAGGUGACGGUACCUCAGGUAUAAGCCACGGCUAACUACGUGCCAGCAGCCGCGGUAAUACGUAGGUGGCAAGCGUUCUCCGGAUUUAUUGGGUGUAAAGGGCGUGUAGGGGGGAAAGCAAGUCAGAUGGGAAAACUCAGGGCUCAACCCUGGGCCUGCAUUUGAAACUGUUUUUCUUGAGUGCUGGAGAGGCAAUCGGAAUGCCGUGUGUAGCGGUGAAAUGCAUAGAUAUACGGAAGAACACCGGUGGCGAAGGCAGAUUGCUGGAGAGUAACUGACGCUGAGGCACGAAAGCGUGGGGAGCGAACAGGAUUAGAUACCCCAGUAGUC